AUCCGGAUUUAUUGGGUUUAAAGGGUGCGUAGGUGGAUUGAUAAGUCAGUGGUGAAAGUUUGCAGCUUAACUGUAAAAUUGCCGUUGAAACUGUCGGUCUUGAGUGCAAAUGAGGUAGGCGGAAUGUGUUGUGUAGCGGUGAAAUGCUUAGAUAUAACACAGAACUCCGAUUGCGAAGGCAGCUUACUGGGAUGCAACUGACACUGAUGCACGAAAGCGUGGGUAUCAAACAGGAUUAGAUACCCUGGUAGUCCACGCAGUAAACGAUGAAUACUAGCUGUAUGCGAUACACCGUAUGUGGCACAGCGAAAGCGUUAAGUAUUCCACCUGGGGAGUACGUUCGCAAGAAUGAAACUCAAAGGAAUUGACGGGGGCCCGCACAAGCGGAGGAACAUGUGGUUUAAUUCGAUGAUACGCGAGGAACCUUACCCGGGCUUGAAAUGCAGAAGACGGAUCGGGAAACCGAUUUUCAGCAAUGGCUUCUGUGUAGGUGCUGCAUGGUUGUCGUCAGCUCGUGCCGUGAGGUGUCGGCUUAAGUGCCAUAACGAGCGCAACCCUUGCCAAUAGUUACUAUCAGGUAAUGCUGAGGACUCUAUUGGGACUGCCAUCGUAAGAUGCGAGGAAGGUGGGGAUGACGUCAAAUCAGCACGGCCCUUACGUCCGGGGCGACACACGUGUUACAAUGGGGAGUACAGAGGGUUGCUACCUGGUGACAGGAUGCUAAUCUCUUAAAUCUUCUCUCAGUUCGGAUCGAAGUCUGCAACUCGACUUCGUGAAGCUGGAUUCGCUAGUAAUCGCGCAUCAGCCAUGGCGCGGUGAAUACGUUCCCGGGCCUUGUACACACCGCCC
rnacentral:rRNA from 1 species